rnacentral:rRNA from 1 species
CCUACGGGAGGCAGCAGUGAGGAAUAUUGGUCAAUGGGCGCGAGCCUGAACCAGCCAAGUCGCGUGAGGGAGGACGGCACUACGGGUUGUAAACCUCUUUUGCCGGGGAGCAACGAGCGUCACGUGUGGCGCCACUGAGAUUCCCCGGAGAAAAAGCAUGGGCUAACCCCGUGCCGCCAGCCGCGGUAAUAGGGGGGAUGCGAGCGUUAUCCGGAUUAAGUGGGUUCAAGGGGUGCCCAGGCGGGAGAUCAAGUAAGGGGUAAAAUGUCGGGGCUCAACCCCGGCCGGCCGUUGAAACUGGUUUUCUAGAGUUGGAGAGAAGUAUGCGGAAUGCGUGGUGUAGCGGUGAAAUGCAUAGAUAUCACGAAGAACUCAGAUUGCGAAGGCAGCAUACCGGCUCCAUACUGACGCUGAGGCACGAAAGCGUGGGGAUCGAACAGGAUUAGAUACCCGAGUAGUC